ensembl:snRNA U6 U6 spliceosomal RNA
GCUUGCUUUGGCAAAGCAUGUAGUAAAAUUUGGAUAUUAUAGAGAAAAUUAGCAUGAUCCCUGCUCAAGGAUGACAUACAAGUUCAUCAAAUAGUCCAUAUUUUA